UACGUAGGUGGCGAGCGUUGUCCGGAUUUACUGGGCGUAAAGAGCGCGCAGGCGGUCGUACAAGUCGCGUGUGAAAGCCCCCGGCUCAACUGGGGAGGGUCACGCGAUACUGUUCGACUCGAAGGCAGGAGAGGGAAGUGGAAUUCCCGGUGUAGUGGUGAAAUGCGUAGAUAUCGGGAGGAACACCAGUGGCGAAGGCGACUUCCUGGCCUGUUCUUGACGCUGAGGCGCGAAAGCGUGGGGAGCAAACAAG
rnacentral:rRNA from 1 species